rnacentral:rRNA from 1 species
GACGAACGCUGGCGGCGUGCUUAACACAUGCAAGUCGAACGGUGAAGGGACCGGUUUUUGCUGGUUCUGGAUGAGUGGCGCACGGGUGAGUAACACGUGAGUAACCUGCCCCCUUCUUCUGGAUAACCGCAUGAAAGUGUGGCUAAUACGGGAUAUUCUGCGCCUGCUGCAUGGUGGGUGUGGGAAAGAUAUUGUUUCGGUGGGGGAUGGGCUCGCGGCCUAUCAGCUUGUUGGUGGGGUGAUGGCCUACCAAGGCGGUGACGGGUAGCCGGCCUGAGAGGGGGGGGGGACACAGGGGGAAGGAGAGAGGACCGAGACUCAGAGGGGGGGAGGGGGGGGGAAAUAUGGAAAAAGGGGCGAAGGCCGGAGGAGGAGCGGCGGGGGGAGGGGGGGGGGCUUUGGGUUGGAAAACCUCUUGGGCAGGGGAAGCGGGCGGGCCUUUUUGGGGGGGGGGUUGAGGGGGGGGGAAAAAGAAGCGCGGAAAAAAAAGGUG